GCCUGGAGUAGCUCAGUUGGUAGAGCGCAAGACUCCUAAUCUCAGAGUCGUGGGUUUGAGCCCUGCGUUGGGCA